AGCAGCCGCGGUAAUUCCAGCUCCAAUAGCGUAUAUUAAAGUUGUUGCAGUUAAAAAGCUCGUAGUUGAAUUUCGGGAUCAAUACGUCAGUCGUGCUUCGGUACGUACUGGCGUCAUUGAUUUCUCCCUUCUGACGAACCAUGAUGUCAUUAACUUGGUGUCAUGGGAAAUCAGGACUGUUACUUUGAAAAAAUUAGAGUGUUUAAAGCAGGCUCACGCUUGAAUACAUUAGCAUGGAAUAAUGAAAUAGGACGUUCGAUCCUAUUUUGUUGGUUUCUAGGAUCAACGUAAUGAUUAAUAGGGAUAGUUGGGGGCAUUAGUAUUCAAUUGUCAGAGGUGAAAUUCUUGGAUUUAUUGAAGACUAACUACUGCGAAAGCAUUUGCCAAGGAUGUUUUCAUUAAUCAAGAACGAAAGUUAGGGGAUCGAAGACGAUCAGAUACCGUCGUAGUCUUAACCAUAAACUAUGCCGACUAGGGAUCGGAUGAUGUUAAUUAUUUAAUGACUCAUUCGGCGCCUUACG
rnacentral:rRNA from 1 species